UACGUAGGCAGCAAGCGUUGUUCGGAGUUACUGGGCGUAAAGAGUGCGUAGGCGGUGUCGAAAGUUUGGCGUGAAAUCUCCCGGCUUAACUGGGAGGGUGCGCCGAAAACUGCGGUGCUGGAGUGUGGGAAAGGCAAGCGGAAUUCCUGGUGUAGCGGUGAAAUGCGUAGAUAUCAGGAGGAACACCGGUGGUGUAGACGGCUUUCUGGACCGUAACUGACGCUGAGACACGAAAGCGUGGGUAGCAAACAGG
rnacentral:rRNA from 1 species